rnacentral:rRNA from 1 species
AUUGAACGCUGGCGGCGUGCCUAACACAUGCAAGUCGAGCGGUAACAGGGUGUAGCAAUACAUGCUGACGAGCGGCGAACGGGUGAGUAAUGCUUCGGAAUCCUGCCCAUGUAGUGGGGAAUAACCAGCCGAAAGGUUGGCUAAUACCGCAUACGACCUACGGGUGAAAGCAGGGGAUCGCAAGACCUUGCGCUAUUGGAU